rnacentral:rRNA from 1 species
UACGAAGGGGGCUAGCGUUGCUCGGAAUCACUGGGCGUAAAGGGCGCGUAGGCGGCGUUUUAAGUCGGGGGUGAAAGCCUGUGGCUCAACCACAGAAUGGCCUUCGAUACUGGGACGCUUGAGUAUGGUAGAGGUUGGUGGAACUGCGAGUGUAGAGGUGAAAUUCGUAGAUAUUCGCAAGAACACCGGUGGCGAAGGCGGCCAACUGGACCAUUACUGACGCUGAGGCGCGAAAGCGUGGGGAGCAAACAGGA